rnacentral:rRNA from 1 species
UACGUAGGGUGCAAGCGUUGUCCGGAAUUAUUGGGCGUAAAGAGCUCGUAGGCGGUUUGUCGCGUCUGCUGUGAAAACCCGAGGCUCAACCUCGGGCCUGCAGUGGGUACGGGCAGACUAGAGUGCGGUAGGGGAGAUUGGAAUUCCUGGUGUAGCGGUGGAAUGCGCAGAUAUCAGGAGGAACACCAAUGGCGAAGGCAGAUCU